rnacentral:rRNA from 1 species
GUGGGGAAUAUUGGACAAUGGGCGAAAGCCUGAUCCAGCCAUGCCGCGUGUGUGAAGAAGGUCUUCGGAUUGUAAAGCACUUUAAGUUGGGAGGAAGGGCGGUAAGUUAAUACCUUGCUGUUUUGACGUUACCGACAGAAUAAGCACCGGCUAACUUCGUGCCAGCAGCCGCGGUAAUACGAAGGGUGCAAGCGUUAAUCGGAAUUACUGGGCGUAAAGCGCGCGUAGGUGGUUUUGUAAGUUGGAGGUGAAAUCCCCGGGCUCAACCUGGGAACUGCUUUCAAAACUGCUGAGCUAGAGUACGGUAGAGGGUGGUGGAAUUUCCUGUGUAGCGGUGAAAUGCGUAGAUAUAGGAAGGAACACCAGUGGCGAAGGCGACCACCUGGACUGAUACUGACACUGAGGUGCGAAAGCGUGGGGAGCAAACAGGAUUAGAAACCCGUGUAGUCC